rnacentral:rRNA from 1 species
AGCAGCCGCGGUAAUUCCAGCUCCAAUAGCGUAUAUUAAAGUUGUUGCAGUUAAAAAGCUCGUAGUUGAAUUUCGGGGUUAGUAGGUUGGUCAUGCCUCUGGUAUGUACUGGUCUCACUGAUUCCUCCUUCCUGAUGAGCCUUAAUGCCAUUAAUUUGGUGUUUUGGGGAAUUUGGACUGUUACUUUGAAAAAAUUAGAGUGUUUAAAGCAAGCUAACGCUUGAAUACAUUAGCAUGGAAUAAUGAAAUAGGACGUUCGAUCCUAUUUUGUUGGCUUCUAGGAUUGACGUAAUGAUUAAUAGGGAUAGUUGGGGGCAUUAGUAUUCAAUUGUCAGAGGUGAAAUUCUUGGAUUUAUUGAAGACUAACUACUGCGAAAGCAUUUGCCAAGGAUGUUUUCAUUAAUCAAGAACGAAAGUUAGGGGAUCGAAGACGAUCAGAUACCGUCGUAGUCUUAACCAUAAACUAUGCCGACUAGGGAUCGGAUGAUGUUAAUUUUUUAAUGACUCA